rnacentral:rRNA from 1 species
UACGUAGGGCGCAAGCGUUGUCCGGAAUUAUUGGGCGUAAAGAGCUCGUAGGCGGUUUGUCGCGUCUGCUGUGAAAACCUAAGGCUCAACCUUGGGCUUGCAGUGGGUUCGGGCAGACUAGAGUGCGGUAGGGGUGACUGGAAUUCCUGGUGUAGCGGUGGAAUGCGCAGAUAUCAGGAGGAACACCGAUGGCGAAGGCAGGUCACUGGGCCGCAACUGACGCUGAGGAGCGAAAGCAUGGGGAGCGAACAGG